rnacentral:rRNA from 1 species
CUACGGGCUGCUCCAGUGGGGAAUAUUGCACAAUGGAGGAAACUCUGAUGCAGCAACGCCGCGUGGAGGAUGACACUUUUCGGAGCGUAAACUCCUUUUAUAUAGGAAGAAGAUGACGGUACUAUAUGAAUAAGCGCCGGCUAACUCCGUGCCAGCAGCCGCGGUAAUACGGAGGGCGCAAGCGUUACUCGGAAUCACUGGGCGUAAAGAGCGUGUAGGCGGAUUAAAAAGUCAGAAGUGAAAUCCUAUAGCUUAACUAUAGAACUGCUUCUGAAACUCUUAAUCUAGAAUGUGGGAGAGGUAGAUGGAAUUUCUGGUGUAGGGGUAAAAUCCGUAGAGAUCAGAAGGAGUACCGAUUGCGAAGGCGAUCUACUAGAACAUUAUUGACGCUGAGACGCGAAAGCGUGGGGAGCAAACAGGAUUAGAUACCCCCGUAGUC